GAACUGUUUUAAGGUUGUUUUUUUUUUUUUAAAUGGAAUGAAAAUGAAUUUUUUAACUAAAUUUUGGCUUAUAUAGCCUACUGAAAACGGCACCAUUUGGAAGGAGGUAGGAUCCGCGCGUCGACCCGACCCAGACCCAAGAUCCGCUUGUUUUUAUACGGAAGGGAAAAUUGUGCUUUUAGCCCCUCCGCCUUUUAAUAUAUUUCCAAUUAAGUUUUUUUAUUUUUUUUAAAUUUACCCUUUUAUUUAUUUCAAUUUCAAUUUGGUCCAAUUUGCAACGACGCCGUUUAGAGG
rnacentral:lncRNA from 1 species